GACGAACGCUGGCGGCGUGCUUAACACAUGCAAGUCGAGCGAGAAAGCCCCUUCGGGGGUGAGUACAGCGGCGAACGGGUGAGUAACACGUGAGCAACCUGCCCUAGAGAUUGGGAUAACAGUCCGAAAGGACUGCUAAUACCGAAUAACGUGCGAUCUGCCAAGUGGAUCGCACCAAAUGGUAGCCUCGGCCUCUGCUCUGGGAUGGGCUCGCGGCGGAUUAGCUAGUUGGUGAGGUAACGGCUCACCAAGGCGACGAUCCGUAGCUGGUCUGAGAGGACGAUCAGCCACACUGGGACUGAGACACGGCCCAGACUCCUACGGGAGGCUG
rnacentral:rRNA from 1 species